CUCUGGAACCGUUGAGCACCCUCCAGUGAUGAUACUGCGCAUGUGACCCCCUGCCGAGUGGGAGGCGUGUCUGUGCAAACCAGCUCAUUGACUAUGCAAUGGGACAAUGAUAUAAAAGGUAGAACCAGCGGAGAGCAGUGGGAACAUUCCCCCAUCGGACUGAAGAGACAUCGGACCGACGGGACGACACAGAUCCGUGGUGAAACAGACGGAGACCAUUUAGGCAUUCAAAUAUAUGAUGAUUUGAAGCAGGAAAAACGAUCCAAAGUUAUUGAUACCUCCCUCACCGAUGGGAGUGGCCAGUCCUGGGGUAAAGACAUGUGGACCCCCCAACGUAUCAUACAACAUUAUGGACCUGCAACUUGGAACCCCAAUGAAUGGAUUAGUGGUGUUCGAGAACCCAUUUAUAACCUAAAUCACUGCAAGCUGUAUUAGAAAUUAUCACCAAUCAAACAGCUGAGGCCCUCAACCUAUUGGCAGAUCAGGCAACCCAAAUGCGAACUGCAAUUUAUCAACAUCGCAUGGUUCUCGACUACCUACUAGCCGAAGAAGGUGGGGUCUCUGGGAAAUUGAAUGAUUCUAAUUGCUGUUUAAAAAUCAAUGACAAUGACAAAGUCAUUCAACAAAUUACUGCCGGAAUACAGAAAUUAGCCCAUGUUCCCACCCAAACCUGGAAAGGCUAGAAUGGUGAUAUGUUGUCCUGGCUUCCAGGAGGUCCUUGGAUCAAACAAAUCUUAUUAUACCUAUUGUGUGGUCUAGCUAUGUUAUUGUUUUUGCCAUGUGUCAUCCCAUGUUUCAUUCAGUUAAUCCAAUGUGUUGUCACAAAUAUGCAGUUUGUACCCAUUGUAUCCCCUGAUGGAGUUAAACACAUUCGAGCUGUACGUCAAUAUGUGUUAUCCACAGUCCAAAUUGUAUAAACUAUUUGUAUCCCCAACUUAUUUUAUUUCUAAACUGAAUUGUUAAUGAUGUUAGGCAUUGGCCUUGUUUAGAGUUGAUUUUGUUAUAAUGUUUUGGCUUGCAUAGCUAACAUCUUUGUUACUGCUCUCUCUCUCUCACUCUUCUCUCUUUCUCUCAUUUUACCUUUGUUUCUAUUCUUUCUCUCAUUACUGUCUUUCUAUAUCUGCCACCAAUGUUGAGCGACAGGGUGGUGUAAGGGACUAGAAACUUGUCUCAACAUCAUCAGCAGAAUGGCUUGACUACCAAGGCUUCACCACGACAGCAACUGAGGAAGUUCUACCCAGCAGCAACACACAUAUCUAUAUCUUCUUGUCUCGGAGCACAUAGGCCCAGUCCUCUGCACAUGCGCCUGGCCCAGGGUCAUCUUACAACGUAUGGAAGGGGGGCUUGGAGCCCCCUGGAACCGUUGAGCACCCUCCAGUGAUGGUACUGCGCAUGUGCCCCACUGCCGAGUGGGAGAUGUGGCCAUGCAAACCAGCUCAUUGACUGUGCAAUGGGACAAUGAUAUAAAAGGUAGAACCAGCGGAGAGCAGUGGGAACAUUCCCCCAUCGGACUGAAGAGACAUCGGACCGACGGGACGACACAGAUCCGUGGUGGUAGCUAUUGUAACUUUCCUCCUCUCUCUCUCUCUCUUUUUCCUUUUUUCCUCUUUCUCUCCUUUUCUCCUGCAUACUUGUUGGUGGCCAAAUAAAGUGACUUGGCACUUGA